rnacentral:rRNA from 1 species
UACGUAGACGGUUGGAUAAGUCAGAUGUGAAAGCCCCGGGCUCAACCUGGGAAUGGCAUUUGAAACUGUUCAGCUAGGGUGCGGAAGAGGGAAGCGGAAUUUCCGGUGUAGCGGUGAAAUGCGUAGAUAUCGGAAGGAACACCAGUGGCGAAAGCGGCUUCCUGGUCCAGCACCGACGUUCAGGUACGAAAGCAUGGGGAGCAAACAGGAUUAGAUACCCUGGUAGUCCAUGCCAUAAACGAUGAGGACUAGACGUUGAGAGGGUAAGCCUCGCAGUGUCGUAGCUAACGCGCUAAGUCCUCCGCCUGGGGAGUACGGCCGCAAGGUUGAA